GGUUGCUUGAUCCGCUGCUGAAUCUGAGCGCAUCUGGCGAUGUAUCUCCGCAGGGCUGUGUCCAAGACUCUGGCGCUGCCCCGGAGGGCGCCCCCGGGUCCCGCGCCGCUGGGGAAGGACGGUGAGUGUCCCACACUUCUCUACCCGUCCAGGCUGGGCACCAGCGCCCCGAACCCUGGGCCAGUGAAGGAACAGUGAGGGAGGGUCUCAGGCCAGCCCUCCGAAUUUCUUGGAAACUUUGGGAAUAAGGACCUUUUCCAGGAUGGCCUCUGAAUCCAAAUUAGACUUCCUGGGUUCCAGUCUUGAAUUCCUGAUCUCCGCAUCUCUUCGCCGAAUGUCAUCCAGGAAAUUCCCUGGAACAUCUGGCUCCAAUAUGAUCUAUUACCUGGUUGUAGGUGUGACAGUCAGUGCUGGUGGAUAUUACACUUACAAGGCUUUAACAUCAAAGCAAGUGAGACGUACAGAACAUGUAGCUGAACCGAAAGAACAAACAAAGGCGGAGUUGCAACCACUUCCAGGUGAAAAGGAAGAGCAUGUGGCAGAAGCCGAGCAAGUGUGUUCAGAGCCUGGAGACACUGCUGUAACGGAAGCUGAAUCGGUAGAUGCUGAGGAAGUCCCAGAGGCUGCAGUUGUGCUUCCAGAAGAGUCUCAGGCCUCCGCCCCCUCCGAGGUCCCUGCCGAAGCUGCCGUGGUGGAGGCAUCCUUAUCGAGCUCAGAGCCUGAGCUGAAGAUAACCGAGGCUUCCCUGGUGGAGACUACCGAGAGUGUCCCUGAGUCUACUCAGGAGGUGGAGAGUGCAGCCCCAGACCAGGAUGACGUUUGCAAUGAGGGGGCUGAUACUAGCCAGGAGGGCGCUGAUACCAGCCAGGAGGGGGCUGAUACCAGCCAGGAGGGCGCUGAUACCACCAAGGAGGAGGCUGAUAACAGCAAGGAGGCUGAAGGUACCACUACUGAGGACCCGCGCUCGAUCUCCGAGGAGAGUGCCGAACUAGAAGAAAGCCCUCCCUUAGGCUCAGAACCCCCUGCCCAGCCUGAGUCACAAGAAGAAGAAACCCAGGUCACAGAGGAAACAGCAUCACCCCAAGGUUGAUCUGCAAAAUUCUAUAGUUGCUUUUGUAUUUUUAGUGACCUUAGCCCUUCUUCCUAGAAUAUUUUAAUAUACCUUAAAGAAUUUAACUUUACUAAUAGAUAUUUGAUUGGGAGUUGGUAUUUUACAAGUCUUAAUAGUUUUUCCACCCUCUAAAAUCAGGCUGUGUUAAGACCUUAAAUAGUGUUAAGUUUGGAUUUAAGUUUUACGUUUUAGAAACUGAGUUAUCUAUGCAACCGGUGUCACUUUGAUUUUCCUUUGCCUUUCUCUUACUUUGUUCUAUGUAAGACCAGAUUACUGGGUUUGCUGUGAACUCAUUUAAAUAAAAUUAGAAAAUCCUAAA